UACAGAGGUCCCGAGCGUUGUUCGGAUUCACUGGGCGUAAAGGGUGCGUAGGUGGCCUGGUAAGUUUGAUGUGAAAGCUCAGGGCUUAACCCUGAAAUGGCAUUGAAUACUACUGUGCUGGAGGUUUGGAGGGGGGACUGGAAUUCUUGGUGUAGCAGUGAAAUGCGUAGAUAUCAAGAGGAACACCAGUGGCGAAGGCGAGUCCCUGGACAACACCUGACACUGAGGCACGAAAGCUAGGGGAGCAAACAGG
rnacentral:rRNA from 1 species